AAGUCGUAACAAGGUUUCCGUAGGUGAACCUGCGGAAGGAUCAUUACCGAGUGAGGGCCCUCUGGGUCCAACCUCCCACCCGUGUCUAUCGUACCUUGUUGCUUCGGCGGGCCCGCCGUUUCGACGGCCGCCGGGGAGGCCUUGCGCCCCCGGGCCCGCGCCCGCCGAAGACCCCAACAUGAACGCUGUUCUGAAAGUAUGCAGUCUGAGUUGAUUAUCGUAAUCAGUUAAAACUUUCAACAACGGAUCUCUUGGUUCCGGCAUCGAUGAAGAACGCAGCGAAAUGCGAUAAGUAAUGUGAAUUGCAGAAUUCAGUGAAUCAUCGAGUCUUUGAACGCACAUUGCGCCCCCUGGUAUUCCGGGGGGCAUGCCUGUCCGAGCGUCAUUGCUGCCCUCAAGCACGGCUUGUGUGUUGGGCCCCCGUCCCCCUCUCCCGGGGGACGGGCCCGAAAGGCAGCGGCGGCACCGCGUCCGGUCCUCGAGCGUAUGGGGCUUUGUCACCUGCUCUGUAGGCCCGGCCGGCGCCAGCCGACACCCAACUUUAUUUUUCUAAGGUUGACCUCGGAUCAGGUAGGGAUACCCGCUGAACUUAA
rnacentral:rRNA from 1 species